ACAAUCUCCAUUGCCAUAACCACUAACAUCAAAUACAAAUUAAGAAGUUGGUUCUUCCAUUGAAGCAUGUGGACCUAAUUUCAACUGGAGUCUAUACGAGGAGCUGAGUAGAGAUAUUGAUUAGAAGCAUCAGGCAAUUGAAGUUAAGACCUCCAAGUGCCACAUCCAUGGCUUUUUGACAGCUUUCUGGUAUCAACAGAAUAUUUAAAAACAAUUGGAGAUCUAAGGGAAGAAUUUGCAGAUCCAAGAAGAUAUACUGGGUUCUCACUGGAUUCAAUAGGGUGUCCUGGAAUUCCCUUGUUCAUCCAUAUGUGUCCCUACAACCAAAAAGACAUUGCU